rnacentral:lncRNA from 1 species
UCCAACGUCACCACUCUUGAGGUGGAUGCCAUCAUUGGAGGCGAUAAUAUCAUAUCACGCAAGGCUAGCGAAGGACGUAACUCCGAGUCUGUGCAAGUCCCCUCGGCAAAGCCUGGCUGUGAUUCCACCCCCUCUUCGUGGUAGCCUUGCGACGGCGGUGACAUCACGCUCUACUCUGUCCAAAACUUUUUUCCCCUUUCUCCUCCUCCAGUCC